UACGGAGGGGACUAGCGUUGUUCGGAAUCACUGGGCGUAAAGCGCACGUAGGCGGACUCUUAAGUCGGUGGUGAAAUCCUGGAGCUCAACUCCAGAACUGCCUUCGAUACUGAGAGUCUCGAGUCCGGGAGAGGUGAGUGGAACUGCGAGUGUAGAGGUGAAAUUCGUAGAUAUUCGCAAGAACACCAGUGGCGAAGGCGGCUCACUGGCCCGGUACUGACGCUGAGGUGCGAAAGCGUGGGGAGCAAACAGG
rnacentral:rRNA from 1 species